rnacentral:piRNA from 1 species
UGGAGCCAUAAAGGGUUACACUUUGGUA